AGAUGUAAUAAUAUGGUAAUCUCCUGGUUAACUGCCUCCCUGACCCCUCAUAUUGCUGAAAGUGUGCAGUAUUCUGAUACUGCACAGAGUAUAUGGUCACAGCUUGAGACCAUAUAUGGCACUGCCAAUAGGAAUAAAUUUUUGAACUAAAAAGAGAGCUUUCUCACACUUCUCAAGGGUCUCUAGAUGUAGCCUCAUAUUUUAACAAACUUAAAGGACUGUGGGAUGAUUUAGGAACAAUGUGUACAAAUCAUGGGCAAGAUGUGUUUGUGCUGCCAAAAAUGGCGUAAUACAGGAAUAUGAUGAGAAUAAGGUGUUUUAGUUUCUCAUGGGCCUUAAUGAAGCAUACAUGGGGGUAAUGAGUAACCUACUGAUGAUGCAGCCACCUCCUACCCUUGACAGUGUCUACAAUAUGGUCCUCAAUGAUGAGAAACAGAGACAAGUCCAGUCCCCUUCCCAUUUUAAUCCAGACUCUAUGUCUUCAAUGUCCACACAAAUAGACAUUCAGUUGGAUUCAAUAAGGUCCCAGUGCCUAAUCCUCUCCUUUCAGACAAAGAGUUAAUUUUGACCAAGCUAGAGGCUCUUUAUUCUGUAGAUACUGC
rnacentral:lncRNA from 1 species